UAAAAGGGUACAGGAUUUUAAAAUUAAGUUAUGAAUUAUUUUUAAAAAAAUGACAUGUGUAUUUACUUAAUGAAUUAGGUCAUUCUCAGUAGGUGAAUUGAAUAGAAAUGGACAUCUUAAUGCUCCACACCUUAAGCAGUAACUCACAAUUGGGAAAGAUUUACAGGAGCACGGAAACAGUUUGGUUUUGAAUAUGCUUAACUUUGCAUUUGUGUACACUUCCCCUCACCUACUAAUCAAGUGGCUCCUUCUAGGAAGGUGAGUUUCAAGAAUAUUAGCCUUGAGAUUUUUACAAAUUCCCCCAAAUCAUUGAACAGAUGGCCUUGGGAUGAAUAGUGGAAUGGCCACAGAUGUUGGAAUCAGAACCUGGAGUCGGAACUGGUUGCAGAUCCGAGGAUAAAAUGGAAAAUGGUGAUAAUACGUCUGCUUCAGAUUGCCAUCAGAAUUGAAUGAGGAUGACAGAUGUCAGUUCUCCCAUCAUUUUCCCAUCGUGCAUGGUUUAUUCAUAUUGCUGUGAUCGUCCCUCAGUGUGAAGAAUCCGUCACACACUAUAUUGUAUUCAGUUAAAUUAACAAUAACAUUAGAAGAUGACUGUACACAAAGAGGCUAUGGUUUUUACACCAAUAAAUGUUAAGGUAAUGACAGUGGUCUUGAUGUCAUUGACAGUCAUUAUAAAAAAUUUUUAUCAUGCCUUGUAUUAAAAAAAGUUGAAUUUUU